rnacentral:rRNA from 1 species
GAUGAACGCUGGCGGCGUGCCUAAUACAUGCAAGUCGAGCGAACAGACGAGGAUCUUUCUCCUCUUACUUUAGCGGCUGACGGGUGAGUAACACGUGGAUAACCUACCUAUAAUACUGGUAUAACUUCGUGAAACCGUAUCUAAUACCGGAUAAUAUAUUUAACCGCAUGGUUCAAUAGUUAAAUACGUUUUUUCUUUCUCUUUUAGAUUGUUCCGCUCCGCAUUAGCUAGUUGGUAAGGUAACGGCUUACCAAGGCAACGAUUCGUAGCCGACCUGAGAGGGUGAUCGGCCACACUGGAAGUGAGACACGGUACAGACUACUAAGGGAGGCAGCAGAAGGGAAUAUUCCGAAAUGGGCGAAAGCAUGACGGAGCAAAGCAGAGUGAGUGAUGAAGGACUUAGGAUCGUAGAACUCUGUUAUUAGGGAAGAACAAAAGUGUAAGUAAAUAUGCACGUAAUGACGGUACCUAAUCAGAAAGCCACGGCUAACUACGUG